GCCCGCGUAGCUCAGGCGGUAGAGCACUCCCUUGGUAAGGGAGAGGUCACUGGUUCGAGUCCAGUCGUGGGCACCA
rnacentral:tRNA from 3 species